rnacentral:lncRNA from 1 species
CAGGCCUAAUUUCUAACACUGAAUCUCCCACCCUCAGCCAUGAUAGAACCCUAAAUGUAUUCCUAAAACUCAAACAAAUCCCAACAAAAACCACAACCCAAACUGCACCUUGCCCCUUCGUCCUAAGCCACUUCCUCACCCUAACUGUAGCGAAACUUUGAGGAUGCGACCUCACUUCCUUGGUAUUAGAACACAACGAAGCUGGGUGCACUUCUGAAGCUGUCUCCCGUCCUGACCCCUUGGAGGGAGACAGUGGAGAGGGGAGGAUGAGCUGUUGCCAUUUUCCCGCUUCCCGAAGGUCUAGCCACAGAAAGGACCGCAAUCCGAGAUUUUUCCGACCUUGGCUCGGCUCUGGCCGCAGAUGUUUCCGGCUAAUGUUCAGGAGGAACCCACAUGUGAGAGAGGCAGCCCAGUGCCCAUCCUGGACGUCAGUGCCAGCCGUGAGCUCUCAUGGGCAGUGCUUCCCCUCGCGCUCAGGCUCCGGCUCCAUGUCCAGAACACCAUGGGCCUGCUCUGCAGCCAGAGCCAGCACCAGAGAAGGAGCCUCCUCUGGAGACAGGAGAGAAGCAGAAGCCAGCUCC